rnacentral:rRNA from 1 species
UACGAAGGGGGCUAGCGUUGCUCGGAAUCACUGGGCGUAAAGGGUGCGUAGGCGGGUCUUUAGGUCAGGGGUGAAAUCCUGGAGCUCAACCCCAGAACUGCCUUUGAUACUGAAGAUCUUGAGUUCGUGAGAGGUGAGUGGAACUGCGAGUGUAGAGGUGAAAUUCGUAGAUAUUCGCAAGAACACCAGUGGCGAAGGCGGCUCACUGGCCCGAUACUGACGCUGAGGCACGAAAGCGUGGGGAGCAAACAGG